UUGUAUGAAAGAUUGGAUGAGAUAUAAACUGUCUCUUGAUUAUUUAUAUAGAAUUUAAUUUUUUAUUUAAAAAGUUAAAAUAUAUUAAAAAGACGAGAAGACCCUAUAGAGUUUUAUAGUUAAAUUUAUUAAAAUUAUUUAUAAAAUUAAAAUUAAAAUUAAUUUAAUUAUUAUAUUGGGGUGAUAGAAAAAUAUGAAAAACUUUUUUUAUAUUUAUAUAUAUAUAUAUAUAUAUAUAUAUAUAUAUAUAUAUAUA
rnacentral:rRNA from 1 species